CAGGUCUCCUUCCAGCCGGUGGGACCCGGGAGGGUCCCUCCUUCAGCCCCUACCCUCCACUGACACUCAGCCAGACACCCAUGGCAGCCCAGAGCUCUGAGUACCAAGGUCCCCUUCUAAUCCCCCAGCCCCACCCCAGAUACCUAUCAGAAGCUCAUAACGUGUUCCCAAAAAAACACUCAAACGCAUGUGACAGUCUUCUAUCAGGGUCUGUCCCAGAGCUCAUGUGACAAAUACCUCACUGCUCUAGAUGUCAUGGAUCCUGGAGGGGUAUCCUGGAAAAGAUGGACUGGCCCUCUCUGCCUGUGGGAAGUCCUGCAUGUCUAACUUCCAUCUUUCCUGCUGCAGAUGCCGAAUGGCUUCGGAGCCUGGGGCAGCCCAGGCUGGGCGUUUAUCAUUUUCUUGGUGCCGUAGAUCAAGGGGAGGAGGGAGGAUUAGUUGCUUUCCAGCCAGAUCCUCCCAGAAGUUUAGCGUCUGGCUUGUAUGCAGCCCUCUGGGCAGUGCCUGCAUUCUCUGGCCCCCAGCGUGGGGAGCAGAGAAGACCUUUAGGGUCCUCGGUGAUCCUCAUACAUACCUUACACCAGAGGGUGCGCGUAAGAGCCUGCCACCGAGAAGGUGCCUUUGCUCACCAUUCAACAAGUAUUUAUUGAGUGUUUACUACGUUCUAGGCACUGGGAUCCAGGCCAUCAGCAAGUUCCGAUGCUUCUACCUCCCAGAAUAUACCAGAUCUAUUCACUCUUCGCAUCCCCACUGCCAACAUGGGAAUCCAAGCCACCAACAUCUGGUGCCUGGACCUCCCUUCUUUAAUCUCCACUCCCGCAUUUCUACCUCCCAGCCCCAGUCCCAGUCUGUUCUCCUGAGCUUUCUUUUUAACAUGGAAAUCAGAGCACCUCUGCGGGAACCCUCCAUGUCUUCCUGCUGCACUGAGCACCUGACCUUCCAAGCCCCGCAUGAUCCUUACCAGCCUCUCCAGAGCCAUCUCCACUACCCCACCUUCACCCCAACCUCACACAAUAUUGGAGUAACACGGGUCUUCUUGAAAAAGUCCAAAUCCUUCUUCCCCCUGCACUUGCUCCAGUUCACCAGGAAGGUCUCAAUUCCAACAUCGCCUCCUCUAGGAGGCCUCCGGGAUUACACUUCUAAAGCAGUCCUACCCACCCACCCCCAAUUGCUCCAAACAUGGCCUUGCAUUUCCGUCACAGCAUCAUUAUUUGAAAAUAUGUUUCUGUUUCCACACAUGUCCUCUGUUUCCCCUGCUGGACUGUGAGUUCUCUAGAGGCCGAGACCUUGUCUAUCCGUUCGCAGUCGCAUGCCCUGGCACACAGCAUUAUGCCAGGUAUGUGGUAGGUAUUUGUCAAUGGAAUGAACGGUCAAAGGGCAAAUAAAGA
rnacentral:lncRNA from 1 species